rnacentral:miRNA from 1 species
AAAAAAAUCACCUAGAGGUUUUGCUAAAAGGUGCAGAUUCUAUUCCUUAGGCCUGUGACUCUGUAUUUUUAACAAGUCCCGAGGUGAUGCUGAU